rnacentral:antisense_RNA from 1 species
UCUGCUCUCUGGACACAGUAGUUCUCAAACUGGACAGUGUCAAUCAGCAUCCUCCGGGAGGUCUGGGAUGGCCCCGGAAAUACCUGUGUCCCACCUAUCCCAGCAGGAGAUGUUGCUGAGAUAGGUGCAUUAAAGUUUAGGCUUUCCAGAGUUUAUAUUGCUAACAACUUGAAAGGAAAAAAGCUAACUAGAGAACUGACUGGUCUUAUUUGUUUUAGAUUCUAGGCUUUACUAGGACUUCCUACUCUCAGAAUCUCUGGACUAUAAAUGCUGGGUGGGGUGGGAGCUGGGAAUGUUAUUCUGGGAAAUUAAUCACAAAUGAAAAGAAAAUCAACUCUAAGACUCCAGUUAGAAGAUUUUUGAAAAUGGCAGAACAUGACUGGCCUUCAUUCAAGUCAGAAUAUUUAAAGCAAUCCUUGCUAAGAACUUGAUUUUGUAUAAGCAGUCCCUUAAAUACAGUUGCUUCUCAGGAAAACCACACACAA